GGGAUCCGGUGCAUUAGUGCUGG
rnacentral:siRNA from 1 species